rnacentral:rRNA from 1 species
GACGAACCGUGCGAACGUUGUUCGGAAUCACUGGGCUUAAAGGGCGCGUAGGCGGGUAUCCAAGUCAGGGGUGAAAUCCGGCAGCUUAACUAUACGAACAGCUUCUGAUACUGGAUGUCUUGAGGGGGGUAGGGGCAUGUGGAACUUCCGGUGGAGCGGUGAAAUGCGUAGAUAUCGGAAGGAACGCCGGUGGCGAAGGCGACGUGCUGGACCCUUUCUGACGCUGAGGCGCGAAAGCCAGGGGAGCAAACGGG